rnacentral:rRNA from 1 species
AGUGAACGCUGGCGGUAGGCCUAACACAUGCAAGUCGAACGGCAGCACAGUAAGAGCUUGCUCUUACGGGUGGCGAGUGGCGGACGGGUGAGGAAUACAUCGGAAUCUACUUUUUCGUGGGGGAUAACGUAGGGAAACUUACGCUAAUACCGCAUACGACCUACGGGUGAAAGCAGGGGAUCUUCGGACCUUGCGCGAUUGAAUGAGCCGAUGUCGGAUUAGCUAGUUGGCGGGGUAAAGGCCCACCAAGGCGACGAUCCGUAGAUGGUCUGAGAGGAUGAUCAGCCACACUGGAACUGAGACACGGUCCAGACUCCUACGGGAGGCAGCAGUGGGGAAUAUUGGACAAUGGGCGCAAGCAUGAUCCAGCCAUACCGCGUGGGUGAAGAAGGCCUUCGGGUUGUAAAGCCCUUUUGUUGGGAAAGAAAAGCAGCAGGUUAAUACCCCGCUGUUCUGACGGUACCCAAAGAAUAAGCACCGGCUAACUUCGUG